GCCGAAAUAGUUUAAUUGGUAAAACAAAUUCCUUGUAAGACUUAAUUAUUGGUUCGAUUCCAGUUUUCGGCA
rnacentral:tRNA from 1 species